rnacentral:rRNA from 1 species
AUACGGAGGAUGCAAGCGUUAUCCGGAUUUAUUGGGUUUAAAGGGUGCGUAGGCGGAUGAUUAAGCGUGAGGUGAAAUGCCACUGCUCAACAGUGGAACUGCCUCGCGAACUGGUUGUCUUGAAUGCUCCUGCCGUGGGAGGAAUGUGUGGUGUAGCGGUGAAAUGCAUAGAGAUCACACAGAACACCGAUUGCGAAGGCAGCUCACGAAGGGGUGAUUGACGCUGAGGCACGAAAGCGUGGGGAUCAAACAGGAUUAGAUACCCUGGUAGUCCACGCAGUAAACGAUGAUAACUAACCGCUGGGUCGUAGUGAUUCAGUGGCCAAGCGAAAGCGAUAAGUUAUCCACCUGGGGAGUACGACCGCAAGGUUGAAACUCAAAGGAAUUGACGGGG